AUAUAUAUCACUUGGGAACCUUGUUAAAAGGCGGAUUCUGAUUCACUUGGUCCAGGGUGGGGAGAAAGAGUCUGAAUUUCUAACAAGCUCCCAGGUAAUGCAGAU
rnacentral:pre_miRNA from 1 species